rnacentral:rRNA from 1 species
AUUCCAGCUCCAAGAGCGUAUAUUAAAGUUGUUGCAGUUAAAAAGCUCGUAGUUGGAUUUCUGGUACAACGCGCCUGGCCCGCUUUUGUGAGUGCCGGUGCGCGUUUGCCAUCCUUCUAGAAAACGUCUCUACUCGGGCAACUGGGCCGGAUUCGCGAUCUAGAUCUUUUACUUUGAAAAAAUUAGAGUGUUUAAAGCAGGCUAUUGCCUUGAAUACAUUAGCAUGGAAUAAUAAUCUAGGACUUCGGUUCUAUUUUGUUGGUUCUUAGUACUGAAGUAAUGAUUGAUAGGGAUAGUUGGAGGUGCUGGUAUUGGCCGGCCAGAGGUGAAAUUCUUGGAUUCGGUCAAGACUAACUUAUGCGAAAGCAUUCACCAAGGAUGUCUUCAUCA